UACGGAGGGGGCUAGCGUUGUUCGGAAUACUGGGCGUAAAGCGCGCGUAGGCGGACCUGCAAGUCGGGGGUGAAAGCCCGAGGCUCAACCUCGGAACUGCCUUCGAUACUGCGGGUCUCGAGUCCGGGAGAGGUGAGUGGAAUUCCUAGUGUAGAGGUGAAAUUCGUAGAUAUUCGCAAGAACACCAGUGGCGAAGGCGGCUCACUGGCCCGGUACUGACGCUGAGGUGCGAAAGCGUGGGGAGCAAACAGG
rnacentral:rRNA from 1 species